UGUUGGUUCUCCCGCAACGCUACUCUGUUUACCAGGUCAGGUCCGGAAGGAAGCAGCCAAGGCAGAUGACGCGUGUGCCGGGAUGUAGCUGGCAGGC
rnacentral:SRP_RNA from 2 species